UUUGUCCAAUCUGUCAGAACACCGUCGAAUUCCUCGUAGUCACCACACCUUUGUGAUUCCUGAACCUGGAGGGGCGCAAAACCAAAAUUGAGUGGGUCAGUAAAACAAUUCUUUUUCCAAAUCCAAACAUUUCUCAAAACGUUGUAACCCCUCUCCGUAAAACCUGUAUACUUUCCCAGAAAUGUAAAAUAUAAAUAUACAUAUAUAUUCUCAAGACUUCAAGUCGUUAACUCAACAUUUUCAUAACAAUUAUGCCAUGCCACAUCAUCUCAACAGUAAUAAGGUAUGAAUGCAUCAACAUAAUCAUAUCAGGUGCAAGAAAGUAAUCAACCGUAGGCCCUCUAAUAGCCCUGUACGGUUGAACCUAGAGCUCAAAAUCUAUCAUUAUCACUCUACCGGAGUCACCUCUGUGACCCGUCCGGCCUUCUGCACACAAGUUACGCUCUAGUGCUUCUCAUAAAUCAUCUGUGCACAUAAUCUAAGGUCACCCACCAGUCGGAAUCUCACUAACACUCUCGCGACUGGUCUGUCGUACCCACUCCGCGUGGACUGUACGACUAGCAUCUACUUGGAUCCAAGGCGAGCGUGCGAUGUGGUGAAUACUAUAAGCACUAAACCAUGGUGCAGGAUUUGAGCUCAAUAUAUAUCAUCAUCAUCAUAACAGUAAUUAAAUACUCAUCUGUGCGUCCACCGCACCAUUUCAUACAUAUGCAUCAUAAAUCAAUUCUUACCUGUGCGUCCACCGCACCAAUUCAUACAUAUGCAUCAUAAAUCAAUUCUUACCUGUGCGUCCACCGCACCAAUUCAUACAUAUGCAUCAUAAAUCAAUUCUUACAUGUGCGUCCACCGCACCAAUUCAUACAUAUGCAUCAUAUAUUAAUUCAUGCAUGGCAUUUCAACUCACAUUUCUAUAUACUUUUCAUAUCAAUUCUAUGCAUGGUAUUUCACUUCCCGUUUUUCCACAUAACUCAUAUGCAUUUCAUUUUAAACAUAUUUUCAUUUCAAUUCAAUUUCUGGGAAACGUCAAGUAUAUAUAUAUACGGAAAACAAAACUGCCCACUCACCUGGAGUUCGUCCAACAACUCCCUAGCACCACACAUCAAGGCGUCAUGACGAUCGCCGCCUAGAAUAGUAAUAGUAAUCAAAUCCAGGCUCAGAAUUCAUAUCGAUAGAAUACAUAACUUAUAUAAAAUACGUCACUACGUUGAUCGAUCCGGAAGAUCUGCCACUCAGAUUUUAAAUCCAUAACUUCCAGAGGUCCACAUUAUACCUCUAGGACAACAUCCUAAAAUUUCAUUACCAUCCAACGGUCGGAUCUCCGUCAAUUUCCAAAACUAAGUGACGGUUAACAUUUUAUAUUAUGGACUUACAAUUCCAAUUCCGGAAGAUCCGUAACUCGGAUUCCCAAUCCGUAAGUUCCAAUAAUCCUCAAAUAUUACGUAUUACAACGUAUCAAAUUUUGGUGACGAUCCAACGGUCGGAUCAUCAAUUCACAUUUUCACCUAAAUGUGAAAACUAUAAAACGUUAUUUGAACACCUAACCAACAAUCCUCAAUAACUUUCUCAUACGGUGUUCAAUUUAGGUAUAUGAAUAUACCACAGUGAUCUACUCGACGUCACGGACGUCGACAUAUUUUUAAAAUAAUUUUAUUUUUAUUUUUUAUUUUUACUGUAGCACCUUCUUCUUCCUUGGGUCGCCGGACUGGUUUUUCCGGCGGCCGUUUUCCGGGCAGUUUUUCAAAUUGCCAUAACUUUGUCAUUUCUCAACGAAAUCAAGUGAUUCAAAAACGAAAGUUGUAGCCCUUGAAGAGAAAAAGAGAAUGGUACCUUGCACAACACCUAGUUCGCCGUGGUUUGGCCGGAAACUUCCUCGAAAGCCUCGGAGGUCGCCGGAAACUGGGUAUUUUUCAAAUGAGUAUAACUUCUUCAAUACUCAACGAAAUUGAGUGAAACAAAAAGGAAAGUUGUAGUACUUGACGAGACGAAGAGAUUGAUACCUACCUCGACUCCUAACUCGCCGGGUAUUCGCCGGAAAACGCCUCGAAAGCUCCGGCCAAACUUUGAACUUGUCGAUCUCCGUGUUCUUACGUCCAAAAACUUCCAACGAAGCACUCCGAGCUUCCUUGGGACCUUACUAAACUCGCUGUGAUCUUGUUUUAGCCUAAAACGUAACCAAUUCAAAGCUCAUGAACAGUGUCAUCUCACGGCAACUUUAGAACUAGGGUUUUCGAAGUGAAACUCACCUGAAAUUGGUAUCCCCGUGCUCGUGAAGUCCCCAGGAUCACGAUGGUGGUCUUAAAUGGAACGUUGGUACAAGAUUGUGGUGGUUCUUGGUGGUUGCCGUGAGUUCGAGAGUAAGAGAGAGAAUGAGAGAGUUUCAGAAAAGAAUAAGAGAGAGAGAGAGUCUGGAAUGAAAGAAGAAGAGAGAAGAAAGGUUACGGGUUUUAGGGAGGGAAUUCAGGGUAGGAGGCCCUACCUAAGUCCAAGCACAAAUUAACACAUACAAAUAUAAAUCUAACCCUAGUUUAGGAUCUUAAAGUAAAACAAAUGUCAUACAUUUACACACCUUAAUCCCGUUUAAGGUCACAUUGGUCAUCUCACGUCCUCGGAAUUAAUAAUUCCGGGACGGGCUGUGACAAUCUCCCCUCCUUAUAGAAUUUCGUCCCCGAAAUUCCAAUCACCAACCAGAACAUCAAAACUCAUAAAAUAGUCUCGGAUACAUAACUCUCAUCCGUUCUUCUGUCUCCCAUGUAAUUUUCUACUGAAUGAUUUCCUUCACAAAGCUUUUACUACUUACUCUGUCUUAAUUCUUAGGACCUUCUUUUUCCAAUCCAAAGUCGACAUUAGUUCCUCACCAAUCAGAUCCGGCUUAAUUCUCAAUAGUUGCACCAAAGUCCCAUGUAACGACUCUGCCACUUAGUGACAACGCAUCGAACACAAAAUACAUUAUGUGCCUUAGCCAAUUCUGAAGGCAUCACAAACUUGUAUGCAAGUUUAUUGAUUCCUUUAGUGAAAAAAAAAAAUGGUCUGAUGUGUCUAAAUCUUAUCUUGUCUCUUUUCCAAUUCUCGUCAUUUCUGUUCGCGGUGAAUUUUCCAAAAAUAUCAAACCAUUUACCUUACACACUCGAUUAGUGGCAUAUCCAUCUGUUGAUCUCUUUUUGCCAUUCCUGGUUACUUCAGGUUAACUUAAUCACCUGAAUACUUUGAGGAGACUCAUCCAUAGUCUCAGGGUCUACUAAAACUCUUUCUUGAUCGAAUCUUUCUCUACCCAGAAACAUUCCAUUCACAAGUCAUCAAAAACCGACUCACGUGACACAUUUCAUGGUCCUUAUGGCGUUACUUCGGAAACUGCACAACCAACAUACUUAAGAAACUUAGCAGUUCCGUAAUCCAAUUCUCUUUUCCAUAAAACAAAUUAGUAAUGUUGCACUGUCUGGGAAAGGUUGUUACUCAACACUGGAGUAAAUGUACUAACUUGUUACUUAACAAGUAUAACUUCUUCUCGAUCUUCCAUUCUUAACUUUACUUUAGUUGGUUUCCAAUCCACAAGAAGAUAAUCUUGGCAAACGUGCCAGACAUUAAUCUUACUGUAGUCUUCUCGCCAAGUGCUUGAGCUAGAACAAACUUUACGAUCACCCUGAUCGUACAAUCAUGUUCAUUAAACAAUACAAUUCACUUUCGCUGCCUCAUAUCAAAUUCCUUCCAAGUAAUGGAUAUUGAAGACUUUUUGGAUUCGUAAAAAAAAAUCUUGCAUUCCCACUAAAAUAUAAUGUCUCCAUAACUUCACAGCACGAAUGGUAAUCGUGACUUCCAAAUCACCAGUAGGGUAAUUCAUCUUAUGAGAUUCCAUUUAUCGUGAAACGUAUGCAAUCACCCUAACAUUUGCAUCAACAUGCAUCCAAUACCAUUCAAGAAACAUCACUAAAAAUUUAUGAUUACCAUUAUUCUCUGGGAUUACCAAAAUACGUGCAUGAGUGAGGAAAUACUUCAGUUGUUGAAUCCUUUGCUUACAAUUCCUUCCCACUCAUACCUAACCUCUUUUCUCAACAGUCUCGUCAAUGACAAAGCAAUGACUGAAAAAUCUUUCACAACCAUCCAAGAUAGCCUGGUAAGCUAAGAAAUUCCAAAUCUCAAUUACGACUCGUGGUUGUUCCAAAUUUUAAUUUCUGUUACCUUUUAAGGAUUCACUUGAAUACCUUAAGAAUAUAUAACAUAUCCCAGAAAUGCUGCUUGAUUCAUCCAACAUUCGCAUUUGCUAAACUUAGCAUACAACCAACGUUCUCUUAAUCUUUGCUUCACCGACUUAAUACGUUUACAUGCUCUGCUCUAGGCUUAGAGUAUACCAGAAUAUCUUCAAUGAAAAUGAUAUCUAUUUAUCAAGGCAUUAUUGGAAUACUUCAUCCAAUAACUCAUAAAACAGCAUGAGUAUCCAUAUAGCAUCACCAAACUUCAUAAAGACUAUAACGAGUCCAGAAAACCAUCUUAUGAUCAAUGUCACUUAUAAUAUUCAAUUGGUAGUAACCAGAUCUCAAUUCAAUCUUUGAAUCUUCGCAAUUACUUCUGAGCUGGUUAAAUAAACAUCAGUACAUCACCAUGGAUAACGGUUCUCAAUCGUUACCCGACUCCAUUGUCUAUAAUCAAUGAACAGUCUCAAGAUCCAUUUUCUUCCUCACCAACAAACUGGGGCUCCUCAAAAGUGUUGUACUAGGUUGAAUAAAACUUUUAUCAACCAAUUCCCUCAACUGAAUUUCCAAUUCCCUUAACUCAUCAUGAACCAAUCUCCAAUAUAAAUUUAUACCUGGCAACAAAUCAAUAGUGAACCUCAUAUCUCUGCCUGAAGGCAAUCCAGGUAUACUUUCAGGGAAGACAUCAAGAAAAGUCUAACUCUUUCGACAUUAUUCACACUACUCCAAACAACAUCAUUUAGCACCACAUGAGCUAAGUAUUUUUGACAGCCUUUCGAAAACAAUCUCUUUGCUCUCACAACAUAAAUAAUGGCUGAACUCAAUCCAUUUUGCAUACUUACAAAAGUAAUCUCUGUUCAUCCAGAUCGAUGGAAAGUACUGGUUUCCCAUAACAUUUCGUCUUGUCACAAUUAUAACCAACCAAUCUAAUGGAAAUAAUUUAACCGACACAAUACAUACUCUAUUACUACUAAGCAUUCUGAAUAAGUACAAAAUAAUCUACCGGUUUACUUACUUAACGAAUCCACGAAUGAGUUAUUAAUAUUACGGUCUGCAGCCCGCAAUACUGAUAAAUCAUCGUUGUCUCGAUAAGUAGGCAACCACUCUCAAAGAUAUAACAUUACUAUUUUGUCACUCAAUGCAAAAUACAUACACUCAUCUCAACUACAUUUAUUUACUACUCUCAAGGUAAUAACAUACAUAAUAAGAAAUAUAUCAGCCGAAGUCAACUAGAAUGAUCAAUACGACUGAUUCAACUCUUAUCUCAAUAAUACGUCGGCCGGAUCCACUCCGCGUGGUCGGUACGGCCGAGCCUAUAACUCACAAAUUUCGCAUGUGUCAAUCGAAUCCACUUCUCGUGGCCUGUACGGCUGAACAUAUAACUCAUCAAAUUUCUCUGUACUCACAGUCAAUCCGACCAAACUACUAAGUUUAUAACUCUUCUGAAUCGACACUAUGAUAUCAUGGAAAAUUAUUGAGUACAACUGAUUCUAGGGACGAUUCACAAUUCUGUGUCCCCUCUGUUCACAUAAACACAUUCAUUAAUUUCACACUUCCCAAAGUGUUAAUUUUUGUACCUGCAGCACAAGGUACAUUUCCUUUACUCGAGACACCUUGUCUCAAAUAUCUGGGAUUACCAGUAUAUCCAUCACUUUUAUUCUGACCAGCGACAUUAAAACCUCAGCUGGAAAAAUUAACUCUAGCUUCACUUCUUUCGAAGCUCUGAAUCUUUCUAUAUCCUUGAUAUGACGAAUCAUUAACUUUAUCGUCUUCUUUUAAUUCCUAUUCUUUUCUUAUUCUUCUUUAUUCUCGUUGCUCAUGUUCUCAGAGUCCUCAAGAUUCAACAACAUCUAGCAUACUCCUGAUAAGAACUACAAUGGAUAGUGGUCACCCAAAAUACCACUUCCCUUUUGUCACCCAGCUUAAAACAACAUAACACCUCCACCAAAUUAACAACAAUAUCUGGAUGGAACGAGGCUAGUCUGAAAACUUUCUAUAAUAUCCCUCGAUCAUCACCUUCCUUGUCUCAUAUUUGUAAAUUCUUGUUUACUACCAUCGAUAAAUGCCGGAGGGAUAAACUUUUCCUUUAAACAAGUCCUUAAACAAUUCUCAAUCGACUGAUUCCUCUGGUGACAACAAUUCAUACUCCUGUUUCCACCAGGAUACAAAUUCAUAACCAAAACCAGGUAGUCGUCUCGACCCCCUGUCAGAAGGAAAUUUCCUUUGACUUGCAUAAUCUGAAACAUCUUUUCCAAAUGGUUAAACCGUUACUUCGCUCUCUCAGGUUCAUCAUUUCAUAAGGUGAUUCAAGUUCAACUCAUUACCCAUCUUAAAAUGUCCCUUUAGACAAUAGACUGAAUCACCAUAGUAAUAGUUUCCCCCUAAACCGCUAAAUCAGGGAGACUAAGUUCCUCUAACUACGUGGCUUGCUACGAGGCGGUGUAGUUCUGACAGAAUUCACUAGAACUUCUCAAGAUGUCCAAGAUUGCAACCAUGCUCUGAUACCAACUGACACACCCCGUCCCGAAGGAGGGCAUGCUGGCCGUCACGUGAGAGUGACGUAACCAUUUGCACAGUACGGAAGCUUUAAGAUACAAUUUAUAAGUUGAUACACCCGAAGGUGAGUCCUAAUUUUGUCCAAUCUGUCAGAACACCGUCGAAUUCCUCGUAGUCACCACACCUUUGUGAUUCCUGAACCUGGAGGGGCGCAAAACCAAAAUUGAGUGGGUCAGUAAAACAAUUCUUUUUCCAAAUCCAAACAUUUCUCAAAACGUUGUAACCCCUCUCCGUAAAACCUGUAUACUUUCCCAGAAAUGUAAAAUAUAAAUAUACAUAUAUAUUCUCAAGACUUCAAGUCGUUAACUCAACAUUUUCAUAACAAUUAUGCCAUGCCACACAUCAUCUCAACAGUAAUAAGGUAUGAAUGCAUCAACAUAAUCAUAUCAGGUGCAAGAAAGUAAUCAACCGUAGGCCCUCUAAUAGCCCUGUACGGUUGAACCUAGAGCUCAAAAUCUAUCAUUAUCACUCUACCGGAGUCACCUCUGUGACCCGUCCGGCCUUCUGCACACAAGUUACGCUCUAGUGCUUCUCAUAAAUCAUCUGUGCACAUAAUCUAAGGUCACCCACCAGUCGGAAUCUCACUAACACUCUCGCGACUGGUCUGUCGUACCCACUCCGCGUGGACUGUACGACUAGCAUCUACUUGGAUCCAAGGCGAGCGUGCGAUGCGGUGAAUACUAUAAGCACUAAACCAUGGUGCAGGAUUUGAGCUCAAUAUAUAUCAUCAUCAUCAUAACAGUAAUUAAAUACUCAUCUGUGCGUCCACCGCACCAUUUCAUACAUAUGCAUCAUAAAUCAAUUCUUACCUGUGCGUCCACCGCACCAAUUCAUACAUAUGCAUCAUAAAUCAAUUCUUACCUGUGCGUCCACCGCACCAAUUCAUACAUAUGCAUCAUAAAUCAAUUCUUACAUGUGCGUCCACCGCACCAAUUCAUACAUAUGCAUCAUAUAUUAAUUCAUGCAUGGCAUUUCAACUCACAUUUCUAUAUACUUUUCAUAUCAAUUCUAUGCAUGGUAUUUCACUUCCCGUUUUUCCACAUAACUCAUAUGCAUUUCAUUUUAAACAUAUUUUCAUUUCAAUUCAAUUUCUGGGAAACGUCAAGUAUAUAUAUAUACGGAAAACAAAACUGCCCACUCACCUGGAGUUCGUCCAACAACUCCCUAGCACCACACAUCAAGGCGUCAUGACGAUCGCCGCCUAGAAUAGUAAUCAAAUCCAGGCUCAGAAUUCAUAUCGAUAGAAUACAUAACUUAUAUAAAAUACGUCACUACGUUGAUCGAUCCGGAAGAUCUGCCACUCAGAUUUUUAAAUCCAUAACUUCCAGAGGUCCACAUUAUACCUCUAGGACAACAUCCUAAAAUUUCAUUACCAUCCAACGGUCGGAUCUCCGUCAAUUUCCAAAACUAAGUGACGGUUAACAUUUUAUAUUAUGGACUUACAAUUCCAAUUCCGGAAGAUCCGUAACUCGGAUUCCCAAUCCGUAAGUUCCAAUAAUCCUCAAAUAUUACGUAUUACAACGUAUCAAAUUUUGGUGACGAUCCAACGGUCGGAUCAUCAAUUCACAUUUUCACCUAAAUGUGAAAACUAUAAAACGUUAUUUGAACACCUAACCAACAAUCCUCAAUAACUUUCUCAUACGGUGUUCAAUUUAGGUAUAUGAAUAUACCACAGUGAUCUACUCGACGUCACGGACGUCGACAUAUUUUUAAAAAUAAUUUUAUUUUUAUUUUUUAUUUUUACUGUAGCACCUUCUUCUUCCUUGGGUCGCCGGACUGGUUUUUCCGGCGGCCGUUUUCCGGGCAGUUUUUUCAAAUUGCCAUAACUUUGUCAUUUCUCAACGAAAUCAAGUGAUUCAAAAACGAAAGUUGUAGCCCUUGAAGAGAAAAAGAGAAUGGUACCUUGCACAACACCUAGUUCGCCGUGGUUUGGCCGGAAACUUCCUCGAAAGCCUCGGAGGUCGCCGGAAACUGGGUAUUUUUCAAAUGAGUAUAACUUCUUCAAUACUCAACGAAAUUGAGUGAAACAAAAAGGAAAGUUGUAGUACUUGACGAGACGAAGAGAUUGAUACCUACCUCGACUCCUAACUCGCCGGGUAUUCGCCGGAAAACGCCUCGAAAGCUCCGGCCAAACUUUGAACUUGUCGAUCUCCGUGUUCUUACGUCCAAAAACUUCCAACGAAGCACUCCGAGCUUCCUUGGGACCUUACUAAACUCGCUGUGAUCUUGUUUUAGCCUAAAACGUAACCAAUUCAAAGCUCAUGAACAGUGUCAUCUCACGGCAACUUUAGAACUAGGGUUUUCGAAGUGAAACUCACCUGAAAUUGGUAUCCCCGUGCUCGUGAAGUCCCCAGGAUCACGAUGGUGGUCUUAAAUGGAACGUUGGUACAAGAUUGUGGUGGUUCUUGGUGGUUGCCGUGAGUUCGAGAGUAAGAGAGAGAAUGAGAGAGUUUUCAGAAAAGAAUAAGAGAGAGAGAGAGUCUGGAAUGAAAGAAGAAGAGAGAAGAAAGGUUACGGGUUUUAGGGAGGGAAUUCAGGGUAGGAGGCCCUACCUAAGUCCAAGCACAAAUUAACACAUACAAAUAUAAAUCUAACCCUAGUUUAGGAUCUUAAAGUAAAACAAAUGUCAUACAUUUACACACCUUAAUCCCGUUUAAGGUCACAUUGGUCAUCUCACGUCCUCGGAAUUAAUAAUUCCGGGACGGGCUGUGACA
rnacentral:lncRNA from 1 species